UUCUUCUUCUUCUACCUUUUCGAUUUUAAUUGUUUUUGGAAGUAGAUUGUUCUUUAUAAUCAACAGGAAUUUUUGGGACUUUAACUUCUUGGAAAUUUCUUCUUUAGUGGGUGCUAGCAAUUUCUUCUGAUUUAUUACCAGCGGGUGCUAGCAAUUCAGUUUCGGUGCUUUAACUUCUUCAGAUGCGUUACGGAUGCUAGCAAUUUCUUCUUCAACGAUCUUUCUCAUUU
rnacentral:lncRNA from 1 species